GAACGAACGCUGGCGGCAGGCUUAACACAUGCAAGUCGAACGCCCCGCAAGGGGAGUGGCAGACGGGUGAGUAACGCGUGGGAAUCUACCCAGUUCUUCGGAAUAACUGAGGGAAACUUCAGCUAAUACCGGAUACGCCCUACGGGGGAAAGAUUUAUCGGAAUUGGAUGAGCCCGCGUAAGAUUAGCUAGUUGGUGAGGUAACGGCUCACCAAGGCGACGAUCUUUAGCUGGUCUGAGAGGAUGAUCAGCCACACUGGGACUGAGACACGGCCCAGACUCCUACGGGAGGCAGCAGUGGGGAAUAUUGGACAAUGGGCGCAAGCCUGAUCCAGCCAUGCCGCGUGAGUGAUGAAGGCCUUAGGGUUGUAAAGCUCUUUCAGUAGGGAAGAUAAUGACGGUACCUACAGAAGAAGCCCCGGCUAACUUCGU
rnacentral:rRNA from 1 species